AGGGUUUGAUUCUGGCUCAGGACGAACGCCGGCGGCGCGCCUAACACAUGCAAGUCGAACGAGAGAGAGGAAGCUUGCUUCCUCAAUCGAGUGGCGAACGGGUGAGUAACGCGUGUGUAACCUGCCUUGUACAGGGGGAUAACAGUUGGAAACGGCUGCUAAUACCGCAUAAGCGCACAGCAUCGCAUGAUGCAGUGUGAAAAACUCCGGUGGUAUAAGAUGGACCCGCGUUGGAUUAGCUAGUUGGUGAGGUAACGGCCCACCAAGGCGACGAUCCAUAGCCGACCUGAGAGGGUGACCGGCCACAUUGGGACUGAGACACGGCCCAA
rnacentral:rRNA from 1 species